CGACGAUAUUUUCUUUAAAUUUAUAAUAUAAAUCCUUAUCUCUUUCUUGAAACAAACUAAAAAGAGUAUUUUGACCUAGGUCGGAAAAAAGUUUUCUAGUACUAACCCUGGAACAGAACUCUUUUAAAAGAUCUAAAUUUCUCGGUUGAUCAAACAUUUUUUCAAUUGCCUCAACAAAUGGCUCCACGUCAAGGUUGUUGUACCACAGUAAAUAAUCUUUAAACGUAACCAUCCUCUCGUUUCGCCAAACAGAACAACAGAAACUGUACUCAUCUGCGUUCAUGCAUGUUUGUGUUUCUCAGAGCUCUAAAAAAUAAUCAUG